UUGUCUGCCUCUGCAACCCAGGCACAUGCCAUUGAUAGGAAAUUGAACACAAGACCCUCCAGUGCACAGGCUAAUGUUCUAACCACUGAGAACACCAGCCAGGGCUUAGGACAAUGUCUUAAAUGAAGUUGAAGAGGCAGUAAUUGUAUAUAUGCAUAUAUAUGGUGCUAUGAUAUAUGUGUAAAUAAAUCUAGAAACAGGAAUAAGGAAUGCUCCCUGUUGGAAGCAGCUGCAGGAUUUAGCUGGACUGUCCAGCACCAGGUUUUAAGUCCAGGAUAGUAAUGGGCAGAAUUAUGUUGAGAAGUAGGAAAAUUCAAACAUGUGGUGAGCUUUCUGAAACCUACAUUGUUUCCAGCUUUUCCAUGAAUGUAUGCAUCUCACAUGCCUUGCUUUGCACUAAUCAAAAAGCAGGUGACUAGCUGAUGUGAAUGAUGUUGAGGUGGUUGAUAAACCAGCUGUGGGGUUGAUGAUAAAAUGAAAAUGAAACCUAUAACUAUUACUGGACACUUUGUACACAUGAUUGUACCACAUUUGCCACACAAAACUUUCUUUCAGACAUCACCUCUUUUUAAUAUAUGCUACAUAUGUAUAAAACUAUGAUCUAUCUUGGGAAGUACGGCCAUUCUUCCUAUAGACUUCUAUAAGAUUUCUUAUAUAUUUUUCAUAUAUAGAUGAAGUCAUCAUUAUAUGGUAAUAACACUAUUUUUUCUCUCCAAUAAAAACCCAUCAAGGUUUGCUGCUAUUUUUACUUUAAUGUCCAUAGCUAAAGAUUCAGAGAGCCGGCAAGAGCUGGAGCGUGGACUGAGGGUUUCACAUGCUUCCUUCUGUGUCAUCUCACUGCAAGGAAAUUAAGGGGCAGAAAAAGCAAGUCCUUGUCUGAUAUUAAACUAGUAAACUGUGGGUUGCCGGCUGGAAACAAGUUUUUUGAUUCCAGAAUUGGUGGGCAUUCCACUCCCUCCUCCCCACGUUUGCCUCAUUUUUAUUACAUGGACCAAAAAAAAGAAAGAAAAAAAAACACAGAAGCGUUGGAAAAACUGCACAGUGACUACAGGAUGUCCUGUUACAUUUAUCUGAUCUGUCAACAGUGACAAGAGCAGCAACCAUAUGAAAUGCUGGCUUGAUCAGAAACCUAAUAUCAGACAGGCAGAUACCUGACACGUCUAUGACUGAAUUGUGAAAUUCCACCAUAUCUGUGAUCAAAUCAAAAGAAGUUGACUCAAAUCUUAAGUACUAUGAGUUCAUUUCCUUAUAUA